rnacentral:rRNA from 1 species
CCGGUUGAUCCUGCCGGAGGCUACCGCUAUUGGAGUUCGAUUAAGCCAUGCGAGUCGCGAGUCUUAGGGACUCGGCGUACCGCUCAGUAACACGUGGGUAACCUGCCCUAUGCUGGGGGAUAACCUCGGGAAACUGAGAAUAAUACCCCAUAGUUCACCACGCCUGGAACGGUUGGUGGACCAAAGCUCCGGCGGCAUAGGAUGGGCCUGCGGCGUAUCAGGUUGUAGGGGGUGUAAUGUACCCUCUAGCCCUCUACGCGUACGGGUGUUGAGAGACAUCGCCCGGAGAUGGAUUCUGAGACACGAAUCCAGACCCUACGGGGUGCAGCAGGCGCGAAAACUUGGCAAUGCGAGAAAUCGUGACCAGGGAACUCCAAGUGCAUCGGGUAAGACCGAUGCUUUUCUUGACUCUUCAAAGGUCUUGGAAUAAGGGGUGGGUAAGGACGGUGCCAGCCGCCGCGGUAAUACCGGCGCCCCAAGUGGUAGUCGCUUUUAUUGGGCCUAAAACGUCCGUAGCCGGUCUGGUACAUUCGUGGGUAAAUCAACCAGCUCAACUGGUUGAAUUCUGCGAGCACGGCCAGACUUGGGACCGGGAGAGGUGUGGGGUACUCUCAGGGUAGGGGUAAAAUCCUGUCAUCCUGAGAGGACCACCUGUUGCGAAGGCGCCACACUAGAACGGAUCCGACGGUCAGGGACGAAGCCUAGGGGCACGAACCGGAUUAGAUACCCGGGUAGUCCUAGGUGUAAACGCUGUGGACUUGAUGUUGGGGGCGCUCCGAGCGCACUCAGUGUCGAAGCGAAGGUGAUAAGUCCACUGCCUGGGGAGUACGGUCGCAAGGCUGAAACUUAAAGGAAUUGGCGGG